GAGUUUGAUCCUGGCUCAGAUUGAACGCUGGCGGCAGGCCUAACACAUGCAAGUCGAGCGGUAGAGAGAAGCUUGCUUCUCUUGAGAGCGGCGGACGGGUGAGUAAUGCCUAGGAAUCUGCCUGGUAGUGGGGGAUAACGUUCGGAAACGGACGCUAAUACCGCAUACGUCCUACGGGAGAAAGCAGGGGACCUUCGGGCCUUGCGCUAUCAGAUGAGCCUAGGUCGGAUUAGCUAGUUGGUGAGGUAAUGGCUCACCAAGGCGACGAUCCGUAACUGGUCUGAGAGGAUGAUCAGUCACACUGGAACUGAGACACGGUCCAGACUCCUACGGGAGGCAGCAGUGGGGAAUAUUGGACGAUGGGCGAAAGCCUGAUCCAGCCAUGCCGCGUGUGUGAAGAAGCUCUUCGGAUUGUAAAGCUCUUUCGCAAAAAAGAAACGAUUUAGACGAAUAAUCUAAGUUAAUGACGGUACCUGAUAGAAGCACCGGCUAACUACGUGCCAGCAGCCGCUGUAGCCGAUGCUCAGAGAUCCAUC
rnacentral:rRNA from 1 species